GAUGAACGCUAGCGGCAGGCCUAACACAUGCAAGUCGCGGGGCAGCACAGAAACAGCAAUGUUUUGGUGGCGACCGGCGGACGGGUGCGUAACGCGUAUGCAACCUACCUUUAACAGGGGGAUAACGGAGAGAAAUUUCCACUAAUACCCCAUAACAUCGAUCAAGGCAACGUGAUUGGUUUAAAACUCCGGCGGCUCAAGAUAGGCAUGCGUUGUAUUAGGUAGUUGGUGAGGUAAUGGCUCACCAAGCCUACGAUACAUAGGUGGACUGAGAGGUUAGCCCCCCACACUGGUACUGAGACACGGACCAGACUCCUACGGGAGGCAGCAGUGAGGAAUAUUGGUCAAUGGGGGCAACCCUGAACCAGCCAUGCCGCGUGCAGGAAGACGGCUCUAUGAGUUGUAAACUGCUUUUAAACAGGGAUAAAGCACAGUAUGUAUACUGUGUUGAAGGUACUGUAAGAAUAAGGAUCGGCUAACUCCGUGCCAGCAGCCGCCGUAA
rnacentral:rRNA from 1 species